rnacentral:misc_RNA from 1 species
AACGCACAUUGCGCCCAUUGGUAUUCCGAUGGGCAUGCCUGUUCGAGCGUCAUUAAACCCCUCAAGCUCUGCUUGGUGUUGGGCGUCUGUCCCGCUACGGCGCGGACUCGCCCCAAAGGCAUUGGCAGCGGCCUCGCCAGCUUCUCGCGCAGCACAUUGCGCUUCUCGGAGCCCUGGCGGACCAGCGUCCACGAAGCUAUUCUACGACUUGACCUCGGAUCAGGUAGGGAUACCCGCUGAACUUAA